rnacentral:rRNA from 1 species
UACGAAGGGGGCUAGCGUUGUUCGGAAUCACUGGGCGUAAAGCGCACGUAGGCGGAUCUUUAAGUCAGGGGUGAAAUCCCGAGGCUCAACCUCGGAACUGCCUUUGAUACUGGGGAUCUCGAGUCCGGGAGAGGUGAGUGGAACUGCGAGUGUAGAGGUGAAAAUUCGUAGAUAUUCGCAAAGAACACCAGUGGCGAAGGCGGCUCACUGGCCCGGAACUGACGCUGAGG